CGAUACCGUGGGUAUCGCGCUCUUGGAUGGGCUCAUGUCCUAUCAGCUUGUUGGUGAGGUAAUGGGCUCACCAAGGUUCGACGGGUAGCUGGUNUGAGAGGNCGAUCAGCCNCACUGGCACUGCGACACGGGCCAGACUCCUACGGGAGGCAGCAGUAAGGAAUAUUGCGCAAUGGGCGACAGCCUGACGCAGCGACGCCGCGUGGGGGAUGAAGGUCUUCGGAUUGUAAACCCCUUUCGGCAGGGAAGAUGGAACGGGUAACCGUUCGGACGGUACCUGCAGAAGCAGCC
rnacentral:rRNA from 1 species